GGGCGCGUGGUUUAGGGGUAUAACGUUCGCUUCGCAAUUUCAAUCCUCUGAAUGUCACAUGUGAAAGGUCCGGGGUUCAAUUCCCCGCGUGUCCA